rnacentral:rRNA from 1 species
UACGUAGGGUGCAAGCGUUAAUCGGAGUUACUGGGCGUAAAGCGUGCGCAGGCGGUUCGCUAAGACAGAUGUGAAAUCCCCGGGCUUAACCUAGGAACUGCAUUUGUGACUGGCGGGCUAGAGUAUGGCAGAGGGGGGGUAGAAUUCCACGUGUAGCAGUGAAAUGCGUAGAGAUGUGGAGGAAUACCGAUGGCGAAGGCAGCCCCCUGGGCCAAUACUGACGCUCAUGCACGAAAGCGUGGGGAGCAAACAGG